rnacentral:antisense_RNA from 1 species
GUUCGGUGCUAUCCAAGUGACUCCCCUGGGAGAGGGCAACUGGAAAUUUAUGCCUGGUGUCUUCCUGGACUCCAACCUAUGUACCUUUUUCCUUGGAUGAUUUUAACCUGUCUCCUUUUGCUGCAAUGAACCAUAACCAUGAGUAUAACAGCUUUUCUAAUUUUUGUGAGUCCCUCAAGUGAAUCAUCAAACCUAAGGUAGUUUUGGGACCCCCAUCACAGACAGUCAAACAGGAGCAGGGCAAGAAGAGCUGCUUUGCCUGGAAGGCUAAUGAGUCUGAACUUCACCCUGGAGGUAAUCGUUAUAGUAACUCCAGGCUCUAACCUGAAGCUGACAUGAUAAGGCCAAAUGUACACCUCUAGAAGACACUUCCGACUGCAGAGGGGAAUGGAUGGGGGAGCUGAGGGAGUAGAGCUGAAGUGGGAAGACCAUGGCCUGGAAAGAGAUGGCUGAACCAGUCCAGGUGGCAAGGAGUCCAUGUCAGCUGCCGUCAUCCACACCACAGACCAGACGUUGCAAAGAGUGGCCAGGCCUUCUGAGUGAAGGUGAUCCAACCUGUCACUAAGCCUAAGGGCAAAUCCUGGCUGUACUAUGAUGGUUCCAACAACCCCAAACAGCAGCGCAGAGGCUGCAGCCACCCUCGGAGGCAUCACUGGGAAACGCUCAUUAGCAGCCUUCCAUUGCUCACCCGCCCCAUCCCACCUCUGCGCAUCCCAGACCAUCAGCCAAGUGCACAGCUGGCUUCCAUCCUCGGAGCCUUCCUCCUUCAUUUGCCUAUUCAACAGUUACAAAGACCUGAGUUGCAAAGGGGCUUACAACCCAUUCCACCCAGAAGAAGGAGAACUGAGACUGAGCAAGACAGAGAAUAGGUGGAAGGGGAGAUGAAACCAAGCAAUCUCUAGAUCCCAAAUGGGGACCCCGAUGUAGCAAGAGCCUCUUCUAAAUCCUUUUCCAAUAGGGUAAUAUGGAAAAUGGUUGAAAGCACAAGCCAAGUGGGGCUGGAAUCCCAAAUGGGCCAUUUACUAGCUGUGUGACUGGACAAGUAAUUUCAUAUUUCUGAGCCUCGAUUUUCUCAUCUGUAAAAUAGAAAAAAAAAACCUAUGUCAUAAUGUUGAUAUACAGAUUAGAUGAGCUAAGAUCUAAAAUGUCUUCUAUUCAGUAGGUGCUCAAUAAAUGUUAUCUAUUUUUA